UACGUAGGGGGCAAGCGUUGUCCGGAAUCAUUGGGCGUAAAGCGCGUGUAGGCGGUCCGGUAAGUCGGCUGUGAAAGUCCAGGGCUCAACCCUGGGAUGCCGGUCGAUACUGCCGGACUAGAGUUCGGAAGAGGAGAGUGGAAUUCCCGGUGUAGCGGUGAAAUGCGCAGAUAUCGGGAGGAACACCAAUGGCGAAGGCAGCUCGCUGGGACGUUACUGACGCUGAGACGCGAAAGCGUGGGGAGCAAACAGG
rnacentral:rRNA from 1 species